CUUACAUGUUUGUUUCAGUUAUGUCCUGUUUAUUUUUUGUUCAAAGAUGACUAGAUUAAAUGUGUUUUUUUUUUUUUUGUCAACAUACACUCAUAAUUGAUGAACUAUUACAUGUUGUAUCAUUGUGGUGCAUCUUUGUUUACUAUUUAAAAAUGUGAUAUCAGAAACUGCCCUCAAUAUCAAAAAUUGUAAGUUCCAUAAAUAUAUAGUGUUUCCUAUGAUAAAAUGGAUGUAUGAUAUAUAGUAUGAAAGCAAUGAACAGAAUAGAAAAUCCAUUAUUUCAUAUCAACAAAAAAGUAUUUGCAGAAUGAAUAUUCUGUUUUUAUGAAUGGUAGAAGAAGAUGAAAUGCACAUUCUAUUCAAUUAUGGAAAACAUAGCAAAAUUCAUGAUUCAUUUUCACUUAAAAAAAUAAAGAAAAAAAAGCUAAGAAAGCUCAUACAUUGUUUCAAUUUAAAUAUGUUGCCAAUAUCAUUGAUAGUAACAUAACUACAUUUACACAUUUAAGAAUUUUAUCCUAAUCUUGCCUAAGGGUUAAAAGGGACAUCAAUAUUGUUAUCUUUUUGUGUGACUUUUAUGAAUAGUUCAUAAAAAAGAUGUGCUACCACAAUUAAUUUCUUUGAUGUUGGAAAUCGAAAAGCUAACUUAAACAAUCUGAUGAAUAGUUUUUCAAUCCUAAAAGAAAGGUGAAAAAGUAACUAUGUUUUACUGAUUUCAAGGCAUUCUCUAUAGAUAUAAUAGCAGAGAUAUUUUUUAUCAAUGACCUUUGAUUUUAGACUUUUUAAUUGGAAGAUUCUGAUACCACUAUGAAUGAGAUUUUCCAUCAGUUUUGAUAAGUUCCACAAUCAUUUAAGUAUGUUGAAUUUGAGACAAGUAUAAAGAACAAUGUAUAUAUAUAAUCUUGAAAUAAAAAUGAAAAUUGUGUCUACAAAGAAGUGGUGCAAUUCUUAAGUUUAUUUUAUUUUGUCAUGCAAAUUUUGUAUGUUCAUUUGUUCAAGUUGUUAAUGUUGCAUUCAAUCAUUGUUAAUUCAAAAUUGUAAAAAGGGUACAUGUUAUUGUUAAUAUUAUAUAUGACUUCUUAAUUUGAAAAUGACUAUGCAUUCAUGAUAAGUUUGAUUGUAUGGUGCAUUCUAUCAAAUCUGGUUGGUCCUUGAUAAAAACAUGUUUAUUAUGUAUGUUGAUAGAAUAACAUGUUCACUGUAAUUCAGUUUAUUAAUAUAAUAAUGAUAUUAUGUUAGAGAUUAUAUGAAAUACUAACUUGUGCCAUCUUGAUUUUUAAUUAAUCAAAAUACAGAUACUUAAGGAUUUGUCUAAAAUUGUCAAAAUGUACUGAAAUAAUCAUGUUUAAGAAUUAAGUGUUUGUGCUUUGUAUGUCUAUAUUUGUUAGUCUAUUCUUGUUAAAAUUUUGGAAUUACUACUUUGUAACCUAAUUAUUUUUUUGAUGAACAUGCAUAUUCACCAUGUAUCAUCGUACAGUGGAUAUAGGUACUAACCAAGCAGGCGUGAGCGAUUUUGAUCUUACAUGGUAAUGAAAAUCUUUGUUUUGUUUACAUAAUAUCAAUGUGUACUUCAAUCUAAACAUACCUGCUGUUUUAAGAAAUGAUUUGGUUGUAGAUUGAUGAUUACAGAUGUCUCAUUAUUUUCCCAAAACAAGAGGGAUUACUAAAACAUUGUAAAAGCAUGUGCAAAUACUUGUCAAAGAAGUUGACCCUCGUCUCAUCCGAUAUAAUUCUAUAUUCAUUGCAUCUCUUUUUCUGAUAGAAGGUUAUUGUGUGUGUUAAAUAAGUAUAGUUGGCAUUGAAAUCUUUCAUACAUAUGUUAUUUUUUUAUAUUUUAUCGCUAAAGAAUCGUUGUGUAUGGUGUUUAGCUGACCACAUAAAUCCUUACAUACGUUAAAAUUGAGAAUGGAAAUGGGGAAUAUGCCAAAGAGACAACAUCCAACCAUAGAGCAUAGUUCAGUUGUUGUACACUGUACACAAAAACUUUAUUUUCAUACUUGUUUAUUACCCUAAAAGUUUUAAAGAAUGAGUAAUCACAAGUAGGUUUAUGAUUGGUAACUAUUACUUUUGCCCUGUAUUACCUUUCUUUCAGAUAAAGCAUGCAAAUGUCUCAAGAACUGUAUCGAAAUUGAAAGUUGGUGUUGACAUUCACAACUAUUUGCCCAUGUACAAGUUAAUUUUUCUUAUUAGAAUAUCAGAGUUGUUUUAUGAAUAGGAAAAAAUUGAUGCGAAAAUUAUUUGGGAGCAGGAAUUUCAAAUGUUGAGAAAUAUACGUUGAAUAUUGAUAAAGCAAAACAAAGAUUUUCGUUACCAUGGAAGGUCAAAAUCGAUCAUGCCUGCUUGGUUAGUACCUAUAUCCGGUGUACUGAUAAUACACAGUGAUAUUGCACUUAUUGAAUAUUGUUACUGUGAUGGAAGCUGACCGGCCAUACAAAGGUGCCAAUUAGGAUAUGUAUUAUAAUGUUAGGAAAUAUAUAGAAUCAUCUAUUUGAAAGGCACUGAACCUAUGAACACCAAAAAUGACAAUAAACAUUCUUUUGAGUUGCCAAGUGUUCACAAUAAGGCCACAUUCAGGUUGUCAGAGAAAUCUCUGACAUAUGACAGCCUAUUAGUGCUUGUUGGGACUAUGGUCUUUGUAAAGGUUGUAUAUGAAUAAAGGGAGUUAUGGGGUUUUCUUCAACGUGACACCAACCAAAUGAAUGAAAUACAAAAGUGAUCUAGAGUAUUUUCGUGUCUCAAAUCAGAAGCCUACAAUGCAAUGUUUGCAAUUUAUUUCUGUAUUUCACUCUAUCAUGUUUUUUGUUUGUAUAAAAUCAGGCUAUUGGUUAUUUUAUUUAAAUUGUUUAACAUCUUGUUAUAUCUGGGCCUUUUAUAGCUUCCAAUGUGAUAAGGAUUUUGCUCAUUGUUAAAGGAUGUACAAUGACCUUUCUGCUGGCUGGUUGUCUCAUUAGCAAUCACCCCAAAUAUCCUUAUUUUAUGGUGAGGUCAAGUUUCAAUCUUCAGCAAUAGACAGAAGUUUUAAAAGUCAAUGCCAAGCUCUAAAUUGUUGAGUUUAAAACAAAGUUUUGAAUAAUUUCAAUACAUAACCUUUCAAACAUCUGCCAAUAAAACUGAACUCUCUAACAACAAAAAACCAAAAGAUAUAACAUAAUACAGCCAUUGACUAGGUCCCUCCCUUAAGACGUACACAUGAACAUUUAUUUUUAGAUAAUCAAACAUUUUACACUUGAAGAUCUAAUUUGAGUGAUGAUAGAAAUGCAAUAUUUUUUUAUUUAGGUGAAAUGUUAAAAUAGACAAUACAUGAUUAUUAUACUGUUUAUUUGCAACUAGAUUGAUAUAAGAUAAAAAUGAUUUUAUUUUAAAGAUAAGUGCUAAACUUCUGUUGCUUGUUUCAUUGUAAUGUAUUAAUUUGAAUAAAUCAUUUGAUUUCA
rnacentral:lncRNA from 1 species